UGAAAACACACCUGAUAAUUGGCUACCUCCAUCUGCUGAUGAAGAACAGCUGACCUCAACAUAAACAAAUACACGUGGAUGAUGACGCAAGUCCAACUUUACUAAUGUGAAAGCUGAGCAGCGGGGGAAUCAUGCUCGGGCAUGGCACGGAUCAAUGGAGGAAGUUGAGCGUCUCAUCAGCAGCAGAGGAAACCAGAAACCAAAGGAUUUCUACUGACUGACAACUGCUCACUCGUCGCUCUCCCUCUCAGACACACACACAUACGUCACAGACUCCGCCUCCAUCCAGACCGUUCUCCUGGGCGAGUGUGUGACGUAUGCGGCCGGCGUGUUUUAGUGUUUGGAGGGACGCAGCGGAGAGAGAAGGAACCCGGAGAAACUGAAAGAACUGAAGUGGCAAAGAAUGAAAAAUGGCCUCUUUGUCCUCCUGAGUGGGACGAUGAACCGCAAUCUGUAUCACUUUGAUCGUACAACAAAUGUUUGGGGAUUUGUCUUCUGGUUGACAUCGUUGAGAUGUACAGAACAACAUAUAUCAUGAGCAGCCUGACAGUAAUGGGCUGAGACCAUUGAACAGGGUCUAUAUUGACCAUUGAUUCACUAUAUAGUUUGGUCCUGUGAUGUCGACAGUUAAAUGAACUGAUUUGAAGUACUGAUAUUCAAAAUUCUCAUUUGUAUUUGAUAGUAAGUGAACACAGAUUUUGUUUUGCACCCAAUGGGGAAAAGGUAAUCAGGACAAAUUUAUUUCAAUUGAUUUGACAUUAUUGCAUGCUGUGGCUGUUUCUUUCAUAAAUGUUUGAUCUGUUAAAGCUG